rnacentral:rRNA from 1 species
UACGUGGGGGGCAAGCGUUGUUCGGAAUUACUGGGCGUAAAGGGCUCGUAGGCGGCCAACUAAGUCAUACGUGAAAUCCCUCGGCUUAACCGGGGAACUGCGUCUGAUACUGGAUGGCUUGAGAUUGGGAGAGGGAUGCGGAAUUCCAGGUGUAGCGGUGAAAUGCGUAGAUAUCUGGAGGAACACCGGUGGCGAAGGCGGCAUCCUGGACCAACACUGACGCUGAGACGCGAAAGCGUGGGGAGCAAACAGG